CCUACGGGAGGCUGCAGUGAGGAAUAUUGGUCAAUGGCCGGAAGGCUGAACCAGCAAAGCCGCGUGAAGGACGAAGGUGCCAAGAAUUGUAAACUUCUUUUGUCAAGGGACAAAAUCAGGCUCGAGAGCCUGACCGAGGGUACUUGAAGAAAAAGCAUCGGCUAACCCCGUGCCAGCAGCUGCGGUAAAACGGAGGAUGCGAGCGUUAUGCGGAUUUAUUGGGUUAAAAGGGUGCGUAGGCGGGCUGUUAAGUCCACGGUAAAAGCCCGGGGCUCAACCCCGGCGAGCCGUUGAAACUGGGUGUCUUGAGAUGUCGAGAGGUAUGCGGAAUGCGCAGUGUAGCGGUGAAAUGCUUAGAUAUUGCGCAGAACACCGAUUGCGAAGGCAGCAUACCGGCGGCGAUCUGACGCUGAGGCACGAAAGCGUGGGUAUCGAACAGGAUUAGAUACCCUUGUAGUC
rnacentral:rRNA from 1 species